GAUGAAGAACGUAGCGAAAUGCGAUAAGUAAUGUGAAUUGCAGAUUUCAGUGAAUCAUCGAAUCUUUGAACGCACCUUGCGCCUUGUGGUAUUCCACAAGGCAUGCCCGUUUGAGUAUCAUUAAAUCAUCAACUCUAAAACCUUUGUGGUUUUUUUUAGAGCUUGGUCUUGAGGGUUUUGCAGGCUUUUUUUUUUUUUCGAGUCUGCUCCCUUUAAAUGCAUUAGCGAGACUUCCCUAUGCUGAACCGUCUCUUUGACGUGAUAAUUAUCUGCGUCGAAUUUUGGUUCUCGUUGGGCUUGCUUCUAAUCGUCUGUUAAAGACAAAACGGAUUUGGGUGCAUAUAUGCGCCUUUUUCCAAAACCUUUUUUUGAUCUCAAAUCGGGUAGGACUACCCGCUGAACUUAAGCAUAUCAAUAAGCGGAGGA
rnacentral:misc_RNA from 1 species